rnacentral:rRNA from 1 species
UGAGUAACCUGCCCCAGACUCUGGGAUAACUUCGGGAAAUCGGAGUUAAUACCGGAUACGAGACGUACCCGCAUGGGUGGUGUCUGGAAAGAUUUAUUGGUCUGGGAUGGACUCGCGGCCUAUCAGCUUGUUGGUGAGGUAAUGGCUCACCAAGGCGACGACGCGUAGCCGACCUGAGAGGAUGGCCAGCCACAUUGGGACUGAGACACGGCCCAGACUCCUACGGGAGGNAG